AGUAACGCGUGGGUAACCUGCCUCAUACAGGGGGAUAGCAGUUAGAAAUGACUGCUAAUACCGCAUAAGCGCACAGGGAUGCAUGUCCUGGUGUGAAAAACUCCGGUGGUAUGAGAUGGACCCGCGUCUGAUUAGCUGGUUGGCGGGGUAACGGCCCACCAAGGCGACGAUCAGUAGCCGACCUGAGAGGGUGACCGGCCACAUUGGGACUGAGACACGGCCCAAACUCCUACGGAAGGCAGCAG
rnacentral:rRNA from 1 species